rnacentral:lncRNA from 1 species
GCUGGGCACCAACUCAAGGGCUCGCAGUGACCUGGGCACACCCAGGGCCCACGGUACGUUUAUAGUAGGAAGUAAAAAAACAACUAAAUGGCUAUUGUAAACAACCUACUAAGAAGAAAUGGGCCCUAAAGCUGAAGUGACUCAAACAGCUCCCUCCAAAAGUGGCUAGAAUGCAAUUCUGACAGGUCUGCAAAGGCGUUUUAAUCGUGUUAGUGAAGGAUUUCCACCAACAUCUACACAGCAAGCUCCCGCGGCUGGCACUGUUCGCUGGCCUCACACGGGAAUCCCUGGCCUGGGAGUUCUUUCUUUUCAAAAUCUUCAGACUUUGGAAGAAGGAUUAGGUUGUUUCUUAGAAGCGUCACUAUUAAAUUACUGAAAAUAACCUAACUUGCUUAAAUGAAACUAAAAUAUUAUGUAUUGGAUUAAAAAGGUCUAAAUCUAUGUCAUUUAUACCCAGAGGGUGUAUAAAAUUACAUAAUUAAUUGUAUUCUAGCUCUGUCAGUGAUUUUCAAACUUAAUUAUAAUGGACUGAGUCUUUUAAAAGAGAAACUCCUGUAACUGUCGGUGCUGGGAAGUUUCAUUAAGCUACACAAACACGCGUGAACCUAAAAUUAGAAACACUGCAGUGCUCAAUCUCUAAACCCAAACUAAAUACACAAAAUUACAAAACCAACAACGUUUAAAUUAUCAACAUCAAAUUAAUCUGAUGGAGACAGUUUUUAAAAACCAGACUGAUGCUGAAGGCAUAAAUAUGGUACUAAAGGCACCAAGUUAGGUUUUUUUUGUGUGUUUUUUUUUUUUUUUUUUUUUUGAGACAGGCUGGAGUACAGUGGCGCGAUCUUGGCUCACCGCAACCUCCAUCUCCAGGGUGCAAGUGAUUCUCAUGUCUCAGCCUCCUGCGUCGCCGGGAUUACAGGCGUGCACCACCACACCCAGCUAAUUUUUGUAUUUUUAGUAGAGACAGGGUUUUGCCAUGUUGACCAGAAUUGUCUCGAAUUCCUGGCCUCACGUCAUCAGCCCGCUUCAGUCUCAAGUGAUCAACUUGCCUCAGCUUCCCAAAGUGAGUUAGGUAUUUUAAACUACCAUAAACUUCACCAUGGCUGCGUUCUGCCUCCAUUUCCCUGCUGGGGUAGGGGAGUGCUUCUGCCCACGGUACAGCCUGGCACCUCCUGGCCAUCCCAUGGAGACAUCGGGUCUCUUCUCAGCCAGACAGGCCCCACUGCCAUGUCACACUCCACCUGCCGUGGCACUGCUGCCAGCUGGCUGUCUGGCUGUGCAAUCCUCAUUCAACACCAGGGAUAAAAAGGAGAUUCUAAA